UAGAGUUUGAUCCUGGCUCAGGAUGAACGCUGGCGGCGUGCUUAACACAUGCAAGUCGAGCGGAGCACAUCAUUGGAAUCCUUCGGAGGAAGAAGGUGUGGCUUAGCGGCGGACGGGUGAGUAACGCGUGGACAACCUGCCCUAUGCAGGGGGAUAACAUCCGGAAACGGGUGCUAAUACCGCAUAAGCGCACAGUACCGCAUGGUACAGUGUGAAAAGCUGAGGCGGCAUAGGAUGGGUCCGCGUUGGAUUAGGCAGUUGGCGGGGUAACGGCCCACCAAACCGACGAUCCAUAGCCGGCCUGAGAGGGUGGACGGCCACAUUGGGACUGAGACACGGCCCAGACUCCUACGGGAGGCAGCAGUGGGGAAUAUUGCACAAUGGGGGGAACCCGUGAUGCAGCGACGCCGCGUGGGUGAGGAAGUACUUCGGUAUGUAAAGCCCUAUCAGCAGGGAAGAAAAUGACGGUACCUGACUAAGAAGCCCCGGCUAACUACGUG
rnacentral:rRNA from 1 species